rnacentral:lncRNA from 1 species
CCCAGAAAUGAGAACAACAAAAGGGCAACCAGUAACACAUGUGUACCUUAAUCUUUCUUUAUCACUUUUUUCUUGAUUUAAAUCCUUUUUGUUUGCCAGAGAAUAUAAGUUAAUACAUUUUCUUGCUUCAGGUAUGUCCUUGAAACUCACACCCUUAUACAAUUCCUUGUAGUUUGACAGUCCAACAUCAAUUUCUCUAUUUUUCUGAAAUUCUAUUGUUUGUAAUUCUCAGAAUUAUACCCUACCUCAACAUCAUUGGCACUCUCACAGUCAACCUCACUACAAUAUGUACCAACUUCAUUUGGAGAUGAAUGUGAAUCAAAAUAAUCGACAAUAUUAGGAAUAUUCACAGAUAAUUCACAUUCAUCUACUGCAUAAAAGUUAAGACACUUAAACU